UGCCCAGCAACUCCUAUCCCUACCUCCUCACGGUAUCGGCCGGAAACUAUGAGCAACCUUAGGGAAGAUCGGGUAACCAACCCCGGUGGGAACUUUGGUCGUAGGCUGACAGGGAAGG
rnacentral:ribozyme from 1 species